rnacentral:rRNA from 1 species
GUGCUUGGGCGAGAGUAGUACUAGGAUGGUUGACCCCCUCGGAUGUCCUCAUUUUGCACCCCC